GGCAAAUCCGGUACUCGUUAAGGCUGAGCUGUGAUGGGGAGAAGACAUUGUGUCUUCGAGUCGUUGAUUUCACACUGCCGAGAAAAGCCUCUAGAUAGAAAAUAGGUGCCCGUACCGCAAACCGACACAGGUAGUCAAGAUGAGAAUUCUAAGGUGAGCGAGCGAACUCUCGUUAAGGAACUCGGCAAAAUGACCCCGUAACUUCGGGAGAAGGGGUGCUCUUUAGGGUUAACGCCCAGAAGAGCCGCAGUGAAUAGGCCCAAGCGACUGUUUAUCAAAAACACAGGUCUCUGCUAAACCGUAAGGUGAUGUAUAGGGGCUGACGCCUGCCCGGUGCUGGAAGGUUAAGAGGAGUGGUUAGCUUCUGCGAAGCUACGAAUCGAAGCCCCAGUAAACGGCGGCCGUAACUAUAACGGUCCUAAGGUAGCGAAAUUCCUUGUCGGGUAAGUUCCGACCCGCACGAAAGGCGUAACGAUUUGGGCACUGUCUCAACGAGAGACUCGGUGAAAUCAUAGUACCUGUGAAGAUGCAGGUUACCCGCGACAGGACGGAAAGACCCCGUGGAGCUUUACUGUAGCCUGAUAUUGAAAUUCGGCACAGCUUGUACAGGAUAGGUAGGAGCCUUUGAAACGUGAGCGCUAGCUUACGUGGAGGCGCUGGUGGGAUACUACCCUAGCUGUGUUGGCUUUCUAACCCGCACCACUUAUCGUGGUGGGAGACAGUGUCAGGCGGGCAGUUUGACUGGGGCGGUCGCCUCCUAAAAGGUAACGGAGGCGCUCAAAGGUUCCCUCAGAAUGGUUGGAAAUCAUUCAUAGAGUGUAAAGGCAUAAGGGAGCUUGACUGCGAGACCUACAAGUCGAGCAGGGUCGAAAGACGGACUUAGUGAUCCGGUGGUUCCGCAUGGAAGGGCCAUCGCUCAACGGAUAAAAGCUACCCCGGGGAUAACAGGCUUAUCUCCCCCAAGAGUUCACAUCGACGGGGAGGUUUGGCACCUCGAUGUCGGCUCAUCGCAUCCUGGGGCUGUAGUCGGUCCCAAGGGUUGGGCUGUUCGCCCAUUAAAGCGGUACGCGAGCUGGGUUCAGAACGUCGUGAGACAGUUCGGUCCCUAUCCGUCGUGGGCGUAGGAAAUUUGAGAGGAGCUGUCCUUAGUACGAGAGGACCGGGAUGGACAUACCUCUGGUGUACCAGUUGUCGUGCCAACGGCAUAGCUGGGUAGCUAUGUGUGGACGGGAUAAGUGCUGAAAGCAUCUAAGCAUGAAGCCCCCCUCAAGAUGAGAUUUCCCAACUUCGGUUAUAAGAUCCCUCAAAGAUGAUGAGGUUAAUAGGUUCGAGGUGGAAGCAUGGUGACAUGUGGAGCUGACGAAUACUAAUCGAUCGAAGACUUAAUCAA
rnacentral:rRNA from 1 species